CUCCCGGGUUGGCAGACGCAUCCGUGUGCAUCCCAACUCCAUAGGGACAGAAGCUCCUGUGCUCAGGAGCCUUCCAGGCCUCUGUGUGUUUCUUCAUCUGGCUGUUCGAAUUCCACCUUGAAUGAUGAAAGUGUCUUCAGAACUGUCAUCAAAUAAUUACUCAUCCACCCAGCUGUGGAAGACUGGGCACUGCCAUUUGCCAAGUGCAGGAAAAGCUCUGAGAAACAGGAUAACUGAGGGCAACCCCUGACACGAUAAAGUCUGGCAGAGAAGAGAGAAAAGAAAAAUGCCAGCCAAAUACAUAAACUAAGUACAUUUCACCGUGAUGUGCUUCUGCAUGGAGUAAACAGUAAAAUGCAACAAUUACACCAGACCCAGCCUCUCCUUUUUUGGAGGGAGGCGAUGGUUUUGAAAUAGUAAUCAAUCUUUAAAACUGGUAUACAGAGCAUGUGCUAAUGUGUGACAUGUAUGGCUGACGAAGAGACUGAAACAGAUUUUCCUUUGCCUUCUUCUCUGUAACACUGAAUAUGAUGUACAUAAGAUAAUCCUAUAGAAAAUGCACAGCAAAAAAAUGUUUUGCUAAAAAAAAAAUAAAUAAAUAAAUAAAAAUAAAAAAGCUU
rnacentral:lncRNA from 1 species